UAAACACAAAAUUAUGAGACUUGAGCUCUUUAUGUUUCAAACCCUUUUCAAAUCACAAUGGCCAAUGGGGGAGAUGAAAUACUUAUUCCCCUUCCCCUACUACAACGUAACCGGCGGCUCGAUAUGUAGCACUGCAUGUACACCACCAUUGUUAUUGUAGUGGCCUGCGAUGUGGUUUUUCAACCUCAGAGUAUGACUGGUUUUUGUUCACAGCCUUUUUGCAGGUUCGUUGUUUCUCUUGACAGAGUCGUGUAA
rnacentral:lncRNA from 1 species